rnacentral:lncRNA from 1 species
UGCAUGUCCAACCUGAAACUCUACAGUGAUAUCAGAGCAGGUGUUUGGUUCAAUCAUAUAUAUAUAUAUUAUUUAUGUGAUGCAUAUUAUAAUUCAUAUUAUACAAUUAUUUAUGCCAUUAAUUAUGCUUUCAUAUAAUGAUGAUGCACAUGUGAUCCACCAUUUUAUCAUCCUGACAUAAGGUUAUCCUAGCAUAGCAGGGUUAUGCUGCAAGGUUGUUCUAGGAUGAUGAAAGUCUA